AGAGUUUGAUCCUGGCUCAGAGUGAACGCUGGCGGCGUGCCUAAUACAUGCAAGUCGAACGAUGAAGCUUCUAGCUUGCUAGAAUGCUGAUUAGUGGCGCACGGGUGAGUAACGCAUAGGUCAUGUGCCUCUUAGUUUGGGAUAGCCAUUGGAAACGAUGAUUAAUACCAGAUACUCCCUACGGGGGAAAGAUUUAUCGCUAAGAGAUCAGCCUAUGUCCUAUCAGCUUGUUGGUAAGGUAAUGGCUUACCAAGGCUAUGACGGGUAUCCGGCCUGAGAGGGUGAACGGACACACUGGAACUGAGACACGGUCCAGACUCCUACGGGAGGCAGCAGUAGGGAAUAUUGCUCAAUGGGGGAAACCCUGAAGCAGCAACGCCGCGUGGAGGAUGAAGGUUUUAGGAUUGUAAACUCCUUUUGUUAGAGAAGAUAAUGACGGUAUCUAACGAAUAAGCACCGGCUAACUCCGUGCCAGCAGCCGCGGUAAUACGGAGGGUGCAAGCGUUACUCGGAAUCACUGGGCGUAAAGAGCGCGUAGGCGGGAUAGUCAGUCAGGUGUGAAAUCCUAUGGCUUAACCAUAGAACUGCAUUUGAAACUACUAUUCUAGAGUGUGGGAGAGGUAGGUGGAAUUCUUGGUGUAGGGGUAAAAUCCGUAGAGAUCAAGAGGAAUACUCAUUGCGAAGGCGACCUGCUGGAACAUUACUGACGCUGAUUGCGCGAAAGCGUGGGGAGCAAACAGGAUUAGAUACCCUGGUAGUCCACGCCCUAAACGAUGGAUGCUAGUUGUUGGAGGGCUUAGUCUCUCCAGUAAUGCAGCUAACGCAUUAAGCAUCCCGCCUGGGGAGUACGGUCGCAAGAUUAAAACUCAAAGGAAUAGACGGGGACCCGCACAAGCGGUGGAGCAUGUGGUUUAAUUCGAAGAUACACGAAGAACCUUACCUAGGCUUGACAUUGAGAGAAUCCGCUAGAAAUAGUGGAGUGUCUGGCUUGCCAGACCUUGAAAACAGGUGCUGCACGGCUGUCGUCAGCUCGUGUCGUGAGAUGUUGGGUUAAGUCCCGCAACGAGCGCAACCCCCUUUCUUAGUUGCUAACAGGUCAUGCUGAGAACUCUAAGGAUACUGCCUCCGUAAGGAGGAGGAAGGUGGGGACGACGUCAAGUCAUCAUGGCCCUUACGCCUAGGGCUACACACGUGCUACAAUGGGGUGCACAAAGAGAAGCAAUACUGCGAAGUGGAGCCAAUCUUCAAAACACCUCUCAGUUCGGAUUGUAGGCUGCAACUCGCCUGCAUGAAGCUGGAAUCGCUAGUAAUCGCAAAUCAGCCAUGUUGCGGUGAAUACGUUCCCGGGUCUUGUACUCACCGCCCGUCACACCAUGGGAGUUGUGUUUGCCUUAAGUCAGGAUGCUAAAUUGGCUACUGCCCACGGCACACACAGCGACUGGGGUGAAGUCGUAACAAGGUAACCGUAGGUGAACCUGCGGUUGGAUCACCU
rnacentral:rRNA from 1 species